GAUGAACGCUGGCGGCGUGCCUAAUACAUGCAAGUCGAGCGAACGGACGAGAAGCUUGCUUUUCUGAUGUUAGCGGCGGACGGGUGAGUAACACGUGGAUAACCUACCUAUAAGACUGGGAUAACUUCGGGAAACCGGAGCUAAUACCGGAUAAUAUUUUGAACCGCAUGGUUCAAAAGUGAAAGACGGUCUUGCUGUCACUUAUAGAUGGAUCCGCGCUGCAUUAGCUAGUUGGUAAGGUAACGGCUUACCAAGGCAACGAUGCAUAGCCGACCUGAGAGGGUGAUCGGCCACACUGGAACUGAGACACGGUCCAGACUCCUACGGGAGGCAGCAGUAGGGAAUCUUCCGCAAUGGGCGAAAGCCUGACGGAGCAACGCCGCGUGAGUGAUGAAGGUCUUCGGAUCGUAAAACUCUGUUAUUAGGGAAGAACAUAUGUGUAAGUAACUGUGCACAUCUUGACGGUACCUAAUCAGAAAGCCACGGCUAACUACGUGCCAGCAGCCGCGGUAAUACGUAGGUGGCAAGCGUUAUCCGGAAUUAUUGGGCGUAAAGCGCGCGUAGGCGGUUUUUUAAGUCUGAUGUGAAAGCCCACGGCUCAACCGUGGAGGGUCAUUGGAAACUGGAAAACUUGAGUGCAGAAGAGGAAAGUGGAAUUCCAUGUGUAGCGGUGAAAUGCGCAGAGAUGUGGAGGAACACCAGUGGCGAAGGCGACUUUCUGGUCUGUAACUGACGCUGAUGUGCGAAAGCGUGGGGAUCAAACAGGAUUAGAUACCCUGGUAGUCCACGCCGUAAACGAUGAGUGCUAAGUGUUAGGGGGUUUCCGCCCCUUAGUGCUGCAGCUAACGCAUUAAGCACUCCGCCUGGGGAGUACGACCGCAAGGUUGAAACUCAAAGGAAUUGACGGGGGCCCGCACAAGCGGUGGAGCAUGUGGUUUAAUUCGAAGCAACGCGAAGAACCUUACCAAAUCUUGACAUCCUUUGACAACUCUAGAGAUAGAGCCUUCCCCUUCGGGGGACAAAGUGACAGGUGGUGCAUGGUUGUCGUCAGCUCGUGUCGUGAGAUGUUGGGUUAAGUCCCGCAACGAGCGCAACCCUUAAGCUUAGUUGCCAUCAUUAAGUUGGGCACUCUAAGUUGACUGCCGGUGACAAACCGGAGGAAGGUGGGGAUGACGUCAAAUCAUCAUGCCCCUUAUGAUUUGGGCUACACACGUGCUACAAUGGACAAUACCAAGGGCAGCGAAACCGCGAGGUCAAGCAAAUCCCAUAAAGUUGUUCUCAGUUCGGAUUGUAGUCUGAAACUCGACUACAUGAAGCUGGAAUCGCUAGUAAUCGUAGAUCAGCAUGCUACGGUGAAUACGUUCCCG
rnacentral:rRNA from 1 species